GGCUCAGAACGAACGCUGGCGGCAUGCCUAACACAUGCAAGUCGAACGCCUGUAGCAAUACAGGAGUGGCGCACGGGUGAGUAACGCGUGGGAACCUGCCCUGGAGUGGGGGAUAACCGAGAGAAAUUUCGGCUAAUACCGCAUACGACCUGAGGGUGAAAGAUUUAUCGCUCUUGGAGGGGCCCGCGUCGGAUUAGCUAGUUGGUGGGGUAAUGGCCUACCAAGGCAACGAUCCGUAGCUGGUCUGAGAGGAUGAUCAGCCACACUGGGACUGAGACACGGCCCAGAGUCCUACGGGAGGCAGCAGUGGG
rnacentral:rRNA from 1 species